rnacentral:tRNA from 1 species
ACCUGCCUACCGGCAGGCAGGCGCGCCGGAUUCAAAAUCCGGUUCUGCAAGGAGUGUGGGUUCGAUUCCCACCCGAGGUA